rnacentral:rRNA from 1 species
UACGGGGGGGAGCAAGCGUUGUUCGGAUUUACUGGGCGUAAAGGGCGCGUAGGCGGCGCAACAAGUCACUUGUGAAAUCUCCGGGCUUAACCCGGAGCGGCCAAGUGAUACUGUCGUGCUAGAGUGCGGAAGGGGCUACUGGAAUUCUCGGUGUAGCGGUGAAAUUGCGUAGAUAUCUGGAGGAACACCGGUGGCGAAGGCGGCGAUCCUGGACCGGUAUUGACGCUGAGGCGCGAAAGCCAGGGGAGCAAACAGGA